GACUCCCACCACUUUCAGGCUACUUGGGGGUGAACUUUCUCUAGCGAUCUGAGCGCUGCUGACAUGUCAGAGUCCCUUUCCCUCUUGCUUCUGACUCAGGAUAAUUUCUAAAUCCAACGAUUUGCCAGUCAGGCCCUGUGGAUGGAUGCAUGCAGAUGGAGAAAAAAGCUGACUGCAGGGAUGCCGGAUCCAAUACUUUUCUAAGUCGCUGAGUGGUCCUGAGGGAGGAUUCUUUACCAGCUGAGCCACAAGGGAAGCCCAUCUUAUAUGCCAGACUGCUUCAAACAUCCCUGAGACCUGCCUAAAACCAGAAAGAAUACUUUACUAAUAAAGGGGUCUGCACAAGAUAA